UACAAAGAAUUUCUGUUGUCCACUUUUGGGGAUGUCCAAGCCUUGACCCAUCGUUUACCAAAUAUGUUCAAUACACAUCGGAUAAUUCACGUGACGUCAUGAAAGUCGUCUGCCGUGUGUCGUCUGCCUGGCAGAUGCACAAAUUCCAUCAGUUGCAGAAGAUACCUAUUGAUUUUUCUUCAAAUACAUUGAAAAUGAAUCAUGCAAGAAAUUUUUCUUGACUGAGGC
rnacentral:lncRNA from 1 species